rnacentral:rRNA from 2 species
AUGCAAGUCGAACGCACUCUCGUUUAGAUUGAAGGAGCUUGCUCCUGAUUGAUAAACAUUUGAGUGAGUGGCGGACGGGUGAGUAACACGUGGGUAACCUGCCCUAAAGUGGGGGAUAACAUUUGGAAACAGAUGCUAAUACCGCAUAAAACCUAACACCGCAUGGUGUAGGGUUGAAAGAUGGUUUCGGCUAUCACUUUAGGAUGGACCCGCGGUGCAUUAGUUAGUUGGUGAGGUAAAGGCUCACCAAGACCGUGAUGCAUAGCCGACCUGAGAGGGUAAUCGGCCACACUGGGACUGAGACACGGCCCAGACUCCUACGGGAGGCAGCAGUAGGGAAUCUUCCACAAUGGACGAAAGUCUGAUGGAGCAACGCCGCGUGAGUGAAGAAGGUUUUCGGAUCGUAAAACUCUGUUGUUGGAGAAGAAUGUAUCUGAUAGUAACUGAUCAGGUAGUGACGGUAUCCAACCAGAAAGCCACGGCUAACUACGUGCCAGCAGCCGCGGUAAUACGUAGGUGGCAAGCGUUGUCCGGAUUUAUUGGGCGUAAAGCGAGCGCAGGCGGUUUCUUAAGUCUGAUGUGAAAGCCUUCGGCUCAACCGAAGAAGUGCAUCGGAAACUGGGAAACUUGAGUGCAGAAGAGGACAGUGGAACUCCAUGUGUAGCGGUGAAAUGCGUAGAUAUAUGGAAGAACACCAGUGGCGAAGGCGGCUGUCUGGUCUGUAACUGACGCUGAGGCUCGAAAGCAUGGGUAGCAAACAGGAUUAGAUACCCUGGUAGUCCAUGCCGUAAACGAUGAGUGCUAGGUGUUGGAGGGUUUCCGCCCUUCAGUGCCGCAGCUAACGCAUUAAGCACUCCGCCUGGGGAGUACGACCGCAAGGUUGAAACUCAAAGGAAUUGACGGGGGCCCGCACAAGCGGUGGAGCAUGUGGU